UGGGGAAUAUUGGGCAAUGGAGGCAACUCUGACCCAGCAACGCCGCGUGAGGGAAGAAGGUUUUCGGAGUGUAAACCUCUGUCCUUGGGGACGACGAAAGUGACGGUACCCAAGGAGGAAGCCCCGGCUAACUACGUGCCAGCAGCCGCGGUAAUACGUAGGGGGCAAGCGUUGUCCGGAAUUACUGGGCGUAAAGGGUGCGUAGGCGGUUAUUUAAGUCAGAUGUGAAAUCCCCGGGCUUAACUCGGGUGGUGCAUUUGAAACUGGGUAACUAGAGUGCAGGAGAGGGAAGCGGAAUUCCUAGUGUAGCGGUGAAAUGCGUAGAUAUUAGGAGGAACACCAGUGGCGAAGGCGGCUUUCUGGACUGUAACUGACGCUGAGGCACGAAAGCGUGGGGAGCAAACA
rnacentral:rRNA from 1 species